rnacentral:rRNA from 1 species
CGCACGGGUGAGUAACACGUAUCCAACCUGCCGUCUACUCUUGGACAGCCUUCUGAAAGGAAGAUUAAUACAAGAUGGCAUCAUGAGUCCGCAUGUUCACAUGAUUAAAGGUAUUCCGGUAGACGAUGGGGAUGCGUUCCAUUAGAUAGUAGGCGGGGUAACGGCCCACCUGGUCUUCGAUGGAUAGGGGUUCUGAGAGGAAGGUCCCCCACAUUGGAACUGAGACACGGUCCAA